UACAGAGGUGGCAAGCGUUGUUCGGAAUUACUGGGCGUAAAGGGCGCGUAGGCGGUCCCGUCAGUCCCUUGUGAAAUCCCCCGGCUCAACUGGGGAACUGCAAGGGAUACUGCGGGGCUUGAGUUCGGGAGAGGGAAGCGGAAUUCCCAGUGUAGAGGUGAAAUUCGUAGAUAUUGGGAAGAACACCGGUGGCGAAGGCGGCUUUCUGGACAGGUGCUGACGCUGAGACGCGAAAGCGUGGGGAGCAAACAGG
rnacentral:rRNA from 1 species